CCAAAGGGCCCGAGCGCCGCCUCCGCCGCGUGCCCCCGGGUCGGCCGGAACCCGCGCGGGCCCUUUAAGGGCCGGGGGCGUGUAGCGGGCCCGCCCCCUCCCCGCAGCGCCGGCCGCCGGUAAAGUGCGAGCCCGGGCGGAGGGCGCCGGAUCCGACCGCGGGCGUGCGUCCGAGCGAGCGCGGGGAGCGGCCCUUCACGCGGGAGCCCGGCGCGCCAUGUACACCAUCACCAAGGGGCCCAGCAAGCUGGUCGCGCAGCGCCGCACAGGUCCCACGCAGCAGCAGGUGGAGAGCAGGCUCGGCGAGCUCCUGAAAUGCCGGCAGCCCGCGCCGCAGACCGCGCCGCCCCCGCAGGCGCAGCCACCGGGACCCUGGCCCCUGUCGAGUGCCCCUCUCACCUGAGGAGGAACCCAGAGCGGCGGUGGGGCACCUGAGCCCAGGAAGGCGAGCAGGCCUGCCGGGACCGCGAGUGCCUGGCGGAGUAGCAGGCGCAGCCCAGGACUCCGGCUCCCACCUCCUGCUGUAGUUCCGGGCCCAGGCUCGUGUUCAAUCGCGUGAAUGGCCGGCGGCCCCCUGCCACAUCCCCCUCUCUCGAGGGGACCCAGGAGACCUACACACUGGCCCACGAGGAGAACGUCCGCUUUGUGUCCGAAGCCUGGCAGCAGGUGCAACAGCAGCUGGAUGGUGGCCCAGCCGGUGAGAGUGGGCCGAGGCCGGUGCAGUAUGUGGAGAAGACCCCCAAUCCCCAGCUUCAGAACUUCGUGCCCAUCGACCUGGACGAGUGGUGGGCGCAGCAGUUCCUGGCAAGAAUCACCAACUGCUCAUAGUGGCUUCCUGGGAAGGAAUGCUGCCUCGGUGGACCCUUCGCCAGAAGAGGACCUUGGUGCCCUAUCCACCCACUGCGGGCUGGCUGGGCGCCGGCCACACCUGAAGUGCCAGCAUUUGGACUUUUGCACCUGUUGUUUCCUUGGCCCAGCUGUUCCAAGCUGCCAGGGGCCAGGGGCCAAACCUGUCUGACCUCAACCCUGCUCACUGUGCCCAGGGACCAGCCCCUGGGGCUGGCAGGGAGGAGCUCCAGUCUAAUAAAGUUGAGAAACUGCC